rnacentral:rRNA from 1 species
UAAACGUCUCAGUUCGGAUUGUAGUCUGCAACUCGACUACAUGAAGCUGGAAUCGCUAGUAAUCGCAAAUCAGAAUGUUGCGGUGAAUACGUUCCCGGGUCUUGUACACACCGCCCGUCACACCAUGAGAGUCGGGGACACCCGAAGUCCGUAGCCUAACUGCAAGGGGGGCGCGGCCGAAGGUGGAUUCGAUAAUUGGGGUGAAGUCGUAACAAGGUACC